UCAAUCAAGCAGAUAAGAUUCGGAAAGAAAACUGCACAUCUGUUGCCAGCAAUGCUCAUGGGGAGAAGUAUAGGAAACCAAAGCCUACAAAUCUGAAGCCUUUUAGGUUUAGAACUGAUGAAAGAGGGAUGUUUAAGGAAGCAACUUUGGAGGAAAAAGCUCAUGCACCAUUGAAGGAGAUCACAUUAGUCAUGACUCCAGGAGCAAAGUCAACAAGCAAACAUCGGAAUGUAAUACAGGCAAAACAUUGGAGCAGUUGGUCAUAUUUAGAAGAGCAAACGAGGAUGGAGUUCUUGGUGUUGCAUGAAGUUGAUGCGCAUUAGAUGGACAUCCAUCCCGUCUCCAAUGGAAGAAAUUUGAUGUCACCAUCUUCAGCUUUCCUCAUGUAGGCCAUUA